CUUUCGGGGUACACGAGCGGCGAACGGGUGAGUAACACGUGGGUGAUCUGCCCUGCACUUCGGGAUAAGCCUGGGAAACUGGGUCUAAUACCGGAUAUGACCUCCUAUCGCAUGGUGGGUGGUGGAAAGAUUUAUCGGUGCAGGAUGGGCCCGCGGCCUAUCAGCUUGUUGGUGGGGUAAUGGCCUACCAAGGCGACGACGGGUAGCCGACCUGAGAGGGUGACCGGCCACACUGGGACUGAGACACGGCCCAGACUCCUACGGGAGGCAGCAGUGGGGAAUAUUGCACAAUGGGCGAAAGCCUGAUGCAGCGACGCCGCGUGAGGGAUGACGGCCUUCGGGUUGUAAACCUCUUUCAGCAGGGACGAAGCGCAAGUGACGGUACCUGCAGAAGAAGCACCGGCUAACUACGUGCCAGCAGCCGCGGUAAUACGUAGGGUGCAAGCGUUGUCCGGAAUUACUGGGCGUAAAGAGUUCGUAGGCGGUUUGUCGCGUCGUUUGUGAAAACCAGCAGCUCAACUGCUGGCUUGCAGGCGAUACGGGCAGACUUGAGUACUGCAGGGGAGACUGGAAUUCCUGGUGUAGCGGUGAAAUGCGCAGAUAUCAGGAGGAACACCGGUGGCGAAGGCGGGUCUCUGGGCAGUAACUGACGCUGAGNAACGAAAGCGUGGGUAGCGAACAGGAUUAAAUACCCUGGUAGUCACGCCGUAACGGUGGGCGCUAGGUGUGGGUUCCUUCCCGGAAUCCGUGCCGUAACUAACG
rnacentral:rRNA from 1 species